UAGGGAAUCCUCGGCAAUGGACGGAAGUCUGACCGAGCAACGCCGCGUGAGUGAAGAAGGUUUUCGGAUCGUAAAGCUCUGUUGUAAGAGAAGAACGAGUGUGAGAGUGGAAAGUUCACACUGUGACGGUAUCUUACCAGAAAGGGACGGCUAACUACGUGCCAGCAGCCGCGGUAAUACGUAGGUCCCGAGCGUUGUCCGGAUUUAUUGGGCGUAAAGCGAGCGCAGGCGGUUAGAUAAGUCUGAAGUUAAGGGCUGUGGCUUAACCAUAGUAGGCUUUGGAAACUGUUUAACUUGAGUGCAAGAGGGGAGAGUGGAAUUCCAUGUGUAGCGGUGAAAUGCGUAGAUAUAUGGAGGAACACCGGUGGCGAAAGCGGCUCUCUGGCUUGUAACUGACGCUGAGGCUCGAAAGCGUGGGGAGCAAACAGGAUUAGAUACCCUGGUAGUCCACGCUGUAAACGAUGAGUGCUAGGUGUUAGACCCUUUCCGGGGUUUAGUGCCGUAGCUAACGCAUUAAGCACUCCGCCUGGGGAGUACGACCGCAAGGUUG
rnacentral:rRNA from 1 species